AACUGAGCCCAAGAAGGCACUAUCCAAAAAGUAUUUUUCAGAAGCAAGUCCCCAUAGAAACCUCAUCCGAGGAAGAGGUGGAGGAAUUACCCCUAGUUUACUCAGAAUUUGGGUCAAGACGGGCUCCAAGCCCAAGAUGAGUAUUUUUUUUUUUUGGGAGCAAUUAUCAUAUUUUUUUUUCCAUAAUUUAUCAAGAUUGUAUUUUUUUUAUGUCCAGUCGGACAAUGGCUAUUGAAGUGUACAGGACGAUUUUGGACAGUGUUGCGCCACUAGUUUUUUUUUUGGACUUUAUUAAACUUAAUUUUUUUUUCCUUCUAGAAACAAACUAUGCCCAAGAAAAAAAAUUACAAAAACAAAUGAGCCCAAGAAGUCCAAAUCAAAAAAUGUGAUUUUUCACUUUUUUAACUGUUUAGACAAUUUUGACUGGCAAUGAUUUCUGAAAUUUUUUACUUUUUUUUUUUUUUGCAGAAGCAUGUCCCCAUUGAAUCCUCAUCAGAGGAGGUGGAGGAUACUGUUUCAGAAAAGACUGUGUCAGAAGUUGGAUCAAGACUGUCAAGAAGCCCAAUUUCAGAAGGCUUUUAUAUAAGGGAACGUGACUUGGAAUCCGAGGAGGAGAGUGUCCCGCAUGUGUCAGCCCCCCAGGACUCCAAGGACAGACCUUCCAAAGAGCCUGAUAAAUAUUUUUUUUUUUAAAUAGCGUUUUGUGCCUCAGCCAACCAGGGGAAGAGUCGGCAGGAAUCGUGGCAGAGGAUGUGGUCGUGGUGGCGCAUGUGCUAGUCGGUCGAACAUUGAAGGGGGGCAGGAUGAGCCAGAGAUCAUAAUAGACACUGAUCUCCUAAUAACGAUAGUCAAGGUUCAUCCUGCUCUGUGGGAUUGGUCUGCCCCACACCACGCCAGGCAGCAAUAUUCGCAGGCUCUUUGGAUGGAGGUGUAUCAUACUAUCUGCACCAACUGGGAGGACCUGUCCUCUACUGAAAGAUAGUGUUGAUUAGAAAUUGGUGGCCAUCCAUCAGGGACCGGCACAUGCAGAACCUUAGGAAGCAAGAAUAAAGGCCCAGUGGAUCUGGGGCCUCCAGUAAAACCCCAUGCUACAACCGGCUACUCCUCGGAUUCCUUUAAAAAUGUCACGAGAUGCGGAAGACACAUUCGACUGAGAAAAAAGACUCAGACUCUCGAACAUGCACCCCCCCUCACCCCCACCCUCUUUGCCCCAGCCCCCGACACUGCUGAUAAAGGGCUAGAACCUUCUCCCCUACUAGCUUCCUCAUCAUCCCGACCAAGUCACCAGAGGAUCGAAGCAUCCUUUGGAGAUUUUGUCCGGCCGGUGAGAAGACAGCAUGGGAUCCUUGAAGAGCUCAUAAAUCUCACAAAGUAUAGCUUAAUGAGAUUGGAUGGUAAAGUGGAAGCCUUGAGGAAGGAGUUUUGCCAGUUACGGCAGACGGGGGCAGGGCCGUCUACUGGUCCCCCUUCAGACUCUCCACUUUAUCUCCAGAGCCUGGCUCCCAUGCUGGAGAAACUGUCCCUUGAAAAGCAGUGUUAGUUCUGCAAGGAGUUGUUCGAGCUUCUGAGUAGACUCUGCUAAACCCCCUCCGCCACCCACCCCUCUCUACUCCCCUUCCUUGUCAUGUCCCCUGCCCAAAGUACUCUCCAUUCCCGCCCCCUUCCUAUUCCCGUCACUGCUCCUGUCACCGCUCCCGUUCCCCUUCCUAUUCCAGUCACUGCUCCCCGCACUAUUCCGGUCACUGCUUCCAUCACCACUCCCGCUCCCCUUCCCAUGGCCGUUACCCUUCCCUUUCCACUCCCCAUUCAUACGGCUGUCACCGUUAUCCCCAGCCAAUGUCCCACACUCUGCCCCACUCCCUGGGACAUUCCCAGCAUUUGGACCAGUUCUCCACCCCUUCUAGUAUGGUCCAAAUGUUGUCCCAGAUAGAACCUUCUGCCCAUUCCACCCCUUCCUUCACACCUCCCAAUUUCCCUCUGCCCCCUAAUAUUCCCACCCCUUCAACACCAUUUCCACAAAUUUCCUUUUCCCAGUCCCAUUCCUAUUCCCAGGAAACCCCUCUUCCCAGAUUCUACUGAGAAAGAAGAAUCAACUCCUUGCGGCCCCCGGAGGAUCCCAGCUCCCAAGACCCUUCCCAAGACCCCCUUUUCCAGACCACUUUUACAGACUUGUAGGGCACAUGACCUUUAAACCAAAAAAGCAAAGCCAUGUAAAUAGUUAAUAUAUUUUUAUUACAAAAAACAAAAACUUUUUUACAGUUUAUAUAAUGACUUUGUCUAUGUAUUUCACACCCAACUAGGGUUUGCUUUCAGGAUAGUAGAGGGGUACCUUCUACUCCCCAUUGUUUUAAAUUCACACAGGGGGAUAGAAGGUACCACUCUACUAUCCUG